UAAUUCCUAAUCUGAUGAGAUUAGUUACUCAUAAUAAUAAUUGACAUAACAAUUAUAUAAUAAUACAUCAAUGAUGAAGUCACCUUGAUAUAAAACCCAAUGGCAAUUGCUUCUUCCCUCGGUGACGGCGCGUGAGUUCCUUUGUUCUGUUUUUUUCCAAAAGUCUGCGUCCAUCUCUAGGUUAAAAGGAAGGCUCUUAUUUAUACCUUCUAAAAGGGACAAAAGUCCAAUCCGUAAAAGAAGCAAGAGAAUAUUAAAUCCUCCCUCUAGCUGCAUGACACGUGGUUUAGGAAUACUAAAGUUGAUGAUGUCACGCGUGUCCCUAGGUGAUGUGUGAAGAUAUCACAUGCAUGUGGGAGCAUAAAAUCGUGUCCCUAUGAAAGUUCUUCCGCGACGCGAGAUAAACAGAGAGUGCUGGGCAAACUUAUGUCUCAAAGCAUAGAAUUUUUCUAAGUCUUUUCUUCUUUUGGUCUUUAGUCUUCAAAUUCUUUUAUAUGUCAAUUUCUU
rnacentral:lncRNA from 1 species